ACCGCGAUAGCUCAGCCGGUAGAGCAUCUGUCCGAUAAGCGGAAUGCCGCCGGUUCAUUUCUGGCUUGCGGUG
rnacentral:tRNA from 1 species